UGGGGAAUAUUGGGCAAUGGACGCAAGUCUGACCCAGCAACGCCGCGUGAAGGAAGAAGGCUUUCGGGUUGUAAACUUCUUUUGUCAGGGAAGAGUAGAAGACGGUACCUGACGAAUAAGCCACGGCUAACUACGUGCCAGCAGCCGCGGUAAUACGUAGGUGGCAAGCGUUGUCCGGAUUUACUGGGUGUAAAGGGCGUGCAGCCGGGCCGGCAAGUCAGAUGUGAAAUCUGGAGGCUUAACCUCCAAACUGCAUUUGAAACUGUAGGUCUUGAGUACCGGAGAGGUUAUCGGAAUUCCUUGUGUAGCGGUGAAAUGCGUAGAUAUAAGGAAGAACACCAGUGGCGAAGGCGGAUAACUGGACGGCAACUGACGGUGAGGCGCGAAAGCGUGGGGAGCA
rnacentral:rRNA from 1 species